AUUGAACGCUGGCGGCAUGCUUUACACAUGCAAGUCGAGCGGUAACAGGCCUUCGGGUGCUGACGAGUGGCGAACGGGUGAGUAAUGCAUCGGAACGUACCCAGAGGUGGGGGAUAACGCAGCGAAAGCUGUGCUAAUACCGCAUGUGAUCUGAGGAUGAAAGCGGGGGACCGAGCAGCAAUGUUUGGCCUCGCGCCUUUGGAGCGGCCGAUGUCGGAUUAGCUAGUUGGUGGGGUAAAGGCCUACCAAGGCGACGAUCCGUAGCUGGUCUGAGAGGACGACCAGCCACACUGGGACUGAGACACGGCCCAGACUCCUACGGGAGGCGGCAGUGGGGAAUUUUGGACAAUGGGCGCAAGCCUGAUCCAGCAAUGCCGCGUGCGGGAAGAAGGCCUUCGGGUUGUAAACCGCUUUUGGCAGGAACGAAACGGUGUCCGCUAAUACCGGGCGCUAAUGACGGUACCUGCAGAAUAAGCACCGGCUAACUACGUG
rnacentral:rRNA from 1 species